AUUGAACGCUGGCGGCAGGCUUAACACAUGCAAGUCGAGCGGGGGAAGGUAGCUUGCUACCGGACCUAGCGGCGGACGGGUGAGUAAUGCUUAGGAAUCCGCCUAUUAGUGGGGGACAACAUCUCGAAAGGGAUGCUAAUACCGCAUACGUCCUACGGGAGAAAGCAGGGGAUCUUCGGACCUUGCGCUAAUAGAUGAGCCUAAGUCGGAUUAGCUAGUUGGUGGGGUAAAGGCCUACCAAGGCGACGAUCUGUAGCGGGUCUGAGAGGAUGGUCCGCCAGACUUGGACUGAGACACGGCCCAGACUCCUACGGGAGGCAGCAGUGGGGAAUAUUGGACAAUGGGGGGAACCCUGAUCCAGCCAUGCCGCGUGUGUGAAGAAGGCCUUAUGGUUGUAAAGCACUUUAAGCGAGGAGGAGGCUACUCUAGUUAAUACCUAGGGAUAGUGGACGUUACUCGCAGAAUAAGCACCGGCUAACUCUGUGCCAGCCGCCGCCGUAA
rnacentral:rRNA from 1 species